CUUGAUAUUAUUUAUUUAGCUCAUAUAUACCUCAAAUACGGUGAGGAGUCUCUACAAUCAACCUUAAAUUGAUUACUAUGGCUUAUUAAUAUAAAAGU
rnacentral:ncRNA from 2 species